rnacentral:rRNA from 1 species
UACGAAGGGGGCUAGCGUUGCUCGGAAUCACUGGGCGUAAAGCGCACGUAGGCGGUCUCUUAAGUCGGCGGUGAAAUCCUGGAGCUCAACUCCAGAACUGCCUUCGAUACUGAGAGUCUUGAGUCCGGGAGAGGUGAGUGGAACUGCGAGUGUAGAGGUGAAAUUCGUAGAUAUUCGCAAGAACACCAGUGGCGAAGGCGGCUCACUGGCCCGGUACUGACGCUGAGGUGCGAAAGCGUGGGGAGCAAACAGG